rnacentral:rRNA from 1 species
GGAGUUUGGACCGUGUCUCAGUUCCAAUGUGGCCGAUUACCCUCUCAGGUCGGCUACUGAUCGCUGCCUUGGUGGGCCGUUACCUCACCAACUAGCUAAUCAGACGCAGGUCCAUCCCUCACCGAUAAAUCUUUGGCGAUAAAGCCAUGUGACUCCAUCGCAUUAUCAGGUAUUAAUCCCAGUUUCCCGAGGCUAUACCUGAGUAAUGGGCAGGUUGGAUACGCGUUACUCACCCGUGCGCCGGUCGCCAUCGACAAUAGCAAGCUAUCGUCAUGCUGCCCCUCGACUUGCAUGUGUUAAGCCUGUAGCUAGCGUUCAUC